AGUGAAGCAAUUAGGGACCAAAGUUAAUUAUUUUAAAGCACAGAUACUCUCGGCCAGGCAAAAUAUUGAGAAACAAAAAUUGAUGAUAAAUCAGUAUGAGAGUAAAGAUCAGAAGAAAGAUCUAUACCUGAACGACAACCGACUUGAAGCUAUUAAACUUAAUCUACAAGAAAGGACUGCGCAGAUCACUCAACUUAUGCAAGAUAUCAAAUUGAUUAAAAAUCAUUUAAAUUUAGUGUAGUUAAAAUACUAUCUCUAUUUAGAUUUAAGUGAUGUACAAUUAAUUUUAAUUAUUUUCUUAUAAGUAAUCAUUAGUUUUU